rnacentral:ribozyme from 1 species
AAAAAAAAAAAAAAAAAAGAAAAAAGAAAAAGGAAAG